CCUACGUCGGAUACCGCGGCGGCAAGAUAUGCUAUGACAACCCGAUGGGGUGGACAGUGGCCAUCAAGACAGCCGGCAUCGCCGUCAUGGUGCUCGCCAUCGGCUUCCUCGCGGCCUUCGGCCUGAAGGCCUGCUCAAAGUCCCGACUCCGGCGUCGCAUUCCGUGGCUGAGGCGGAGCAGUGACGUCAGCUUUCGCUCCGAG